AAGCAAGAACAAAGAUGGAAAAACAGGGCAUCCCCUUGAAGGACUAAGCCAGAAUUUAUCCGUUCUACUGUUGAUGGUGAAGAACCACUAAGUCAGUCACAGGGAAAGGAAGGCCUAGGCACCUCAUCCAUGUUUCCCUGUUUUACGGGACCUGCUGGCUCUGAGACUUCCCUUUGCUCCACGUAAGGAAAGUAACCUUGCAAUAACCAAUCGGCUUCUACCUGGUAGGACUUCCCUGUGCCUGCUCCCUGGUGCCUGUGGAAGUCUUUCAUUUUGUACAGCUCCUUGGAGAGCUUUUCUAUCUGCUAGAUUAGAUGCUGCCGGAUUCAUGAAUUGCUGAA